GACGAACCGUGCGAACGUUAUUCGGAAUCACUGGGCUUAAAGCGCGUGUAGGCGGGACGGCACGUCGGUCGCUGAAAUCCCCCGGCUCAACCGGGGAACGGGCGCCGAUACGACCGCCCUGGAGGGGCGUAGGGGGACCUGGAACUUCCGGUGGAGCGGUGAAAUGCGUUGAGAUCGGAAGGAACGCCCGUGGCGAAAGCGAGGUCCUGGACGCAUACUGACGCUGAGACGCGAAAGCCAGGGGAGCGAACGGG
rnacentral:rRNA from 1 species